rnacentral:rRNA from 1 species
UGGGGAAUAUUGGGCAAUGGAGGCAAUUCUGACCCAGCAACGCCGCGUGAGGGAAGAAGGUUUUCGGAUUGUAAACCUCUGUCCUUGGGGACGAAGAAAGUGACGGUACCCGAGGAGGAAGCCCCGGCUAACUACGUGCCAGCAGCCGCGGUAAUACGUAGGGGGCGAGCGUUGUCCGGAAUUACUGGGCGUAAAGGGUGCGUAGGCGGUAUGGUAAGUUAGAUGUGAAAUCCCCGGGCUUAACUUGGGAGUGGCAUUUAAAACUGUCAUACUAGAGUGCAGGAGAGGAAAGCGGAAUUCCUAGUGUAGCGGUGAAAUGCGUAGAUAUUAGGAGGAACACCAGUGGCGAAGGCGGCUUUCUGGACUGUAACUGACGCUGAUGCACGAAAGCGUGGGGAGCAAACAGGAUUAGAUACCCUGGUAGU